rnacentral:sRNA from 1 species
CGAUAGUCCCGAAGUGUCGGGAGAAAAUUCUUUUAUGGCAGUCCCGAGGCUUCGGGAGCCAUAAAAGAUUGGAACGGAAAGCGGGAUUAGCU